ACCCACCCACGCACCAUGAUAUCCAUGAUUUCCAGCAACCGUGCCUGGGGGUUUUGUACAAGGAAGAAGCCUGGGCUAGAAGGCCUGUGAAAAUUGACUCUGAAGGCAGUUCUCGUCUGUGUUCCUUUAUUCUACAAGGCUUACUGAUGCCUGCGCUGUGGCUGGCCUGUCCUCAUGGAACUGAAUCUGGAGGGCAAGAAAGGCAAGUCAAAGUCAGGGCCCUUGUGAUGAGUGCUGCAAUAGGGGGCGUAUAAGGCCCAGAAAUGGCACAGGGUGAUCAACUUUGGCAGGGGAGAGGGGCUAAGAAGGCGUCCCGGAGUACCAUACACCUGAGCUUGGUAUUCUUCCUAGUUAUCUAUAGCUGCAUAAUCAAUUAUUCCAAAAUUGAACAGCUUAGCACCCCAAAAAUUAUCCCACACUCUCUAUGGCUCAGGAAUGCUGGAGUGGCAUAGCUGGGUGGUUCUGGCUGAAGGUCUGUCACGAGGCUGCAGUCAAGACGUCAGCUGGUGUUGCCAUCAUCGGAAGGCUUGGCUCCGGCUCGAAGGCUCACCGUGAGAUGGCUCGCUCACGUGGCUGCUGGCAAAAGCCUCAAUUCCACAUCUCAAUUCUGCAUCACGCCGAGCUCUCCACAGGGCUGACGUUCACGCUGGCUUCUCCCAAAGCGAGUGAUCUGAGAGAGAGCAACAGGGAAGCCACCGUGUCCUUUACAACCCACCCUUGGAAGUCGUGCUGCAUCAUCAUAUCCACCCUAUAACGUGAGUAGAGUCAACCCUACCCAGUGCUGGGGGGUGGGGACGAUGCAGGCACAAGGACACUAGGAGGAGGGCUCACGGGGGCCAUCGUGGAGGCUGCUGUCGCAGAACUGAAGAUGGAGUUUUCCAGAUGCACAAGGAAGAAGCAUCUCAGGCAGAGGAAAUAACAUGUAAAGGCAUGUAAAAGCAGGCGUGGCCUGUCCGGGACGUUGUAACUGGUUUGGAGAAUAAGGGGUGCAGAGAGCCGUCUGUGUCGAGUGAAGUCAGGCCUUUGUCACUUAGGCCUGUGGCUUUCAAAGGUUGCUUCACAUGAGAUUCACCUGAGGAAACUUUAAACUUCCCAAUGCCAAAGCUGCACCCAUGUCAAUUAAAUAGGAACCUCUGGGAGUGGGACUGCACCUCAGCCGUUGUCAAAGGUGAUUCCAAUGGCAGCCAAGGUUGCGAACCUGUGCUGUGGGCCUCACGGAGCAACGGAAAGCUUGAAGCAGGGAGUCCUGUGGUCAGACUGCCAAUCUUGCUGAUGAGGUGCAGCUGUGCCUUCCCUGCCUGCCCAUCUAGAAAAUUCAGUAUCAGGGCUAGGAAGGCCCUAUCAUCUGCGCGCACCCCCUCACUCAGCCUGUGACAGUGGAGUGUGAGCGAAGGAUGGGGAGUGGCUUCCAGUCCUGAUGUUAUCACUUGGUAGCUAGUUGGGUGAAGUAAUUUCUCAUGGCCCAGUUAAUGCAUUUGAAAAAAAUGGUGAUACCUAAGAAGAUUCGCAAAGUGCUGCUGCUGACUGUCCUCUAAGAAACCUGCCCUGCAAGCCCAGGAGCCCCUCCGGCAUCGUCUCCGUCUGGUCUGCUGUAAGCACCUGGAUCUAUCCCUCACGUGUGUAAGGAUCUAUUCCUUACUUCUCUUUGUGUGUAUUUCCCAUCAGGUCUUCACUGUGUUAAGGUUUCCCCCUAACAUAAAGGAUUGCUUAAAAGACAUGUCUCCCCAGCCAGUUCCAUUCAGCCAACAUGGCUUGGACAUGUUAAUAUGGCUGAAUGGAAUGCUAGGUACAGCCGGGUGUGGCGGCUCACGCCUGUAAUCUCAGCAACUGGAGAGACUGAG